CGACAACAAGAACCCACGAGACCAGGAGAGCCUCAUAGAGGGGCUGUGCUACACGAGGAUGGUGGUGAAGGAGGGCUUGAGGCUGCACCCGGUGCUGCCGCUCCUGCUCCCACGUGUCUGCCGGGAGACCUGCGACGUCGGCGGAUUCGAGGUCACGGAGGGCACCAGGGUCAUGGUUAACGCGUGGGCGAUAGCGAGGAGCGCCGAACAUUGGCACGACGCGGAGGAGUUUAGGCCGGAGAGUUCGUGGAUAGCACGGCGACAGACUACACCGGCACGCGGUACGAGUAUUUGCCGUUCGGCAGCGGGAGGAGGAUGUGCCCCGGCGGCAACUUUGCGAUGGCCACGCUGGAGCUCACUGUGGCACGGCUUCUCUACUACUUCGACUGGAGCCUCCCGAACGGGAUUCGACCGGAGGAGCUCGACAUGGACAUGAUCGUCGGCGCAACGGCAAGAAGAAGAAACCAACUGCACCUAAUUGCGGAGCCCUAUAAUGUCCCAAUCGAUCUUUAAAGCCGAUGUUUGUGACAGUUCACUUUCGUUGUUCUGCCAUGUGGGAUGAAUGUCUAUAUAUGUCUUGUUUUUAUGCAAUGUAAUGCACAAAUAAAUAAUUUUGGCAGAUAACAUUGUAUAGAGUAAAAUUCAGUUGUGGUCACUUAAUUGCGCAUUUUGGUCAUCUAACAAAUAAAAUAACGAUCCAACCCGCAAGACUUUGCAUGACCCAUGUAGAUAAACCAAAACAAGGGAAGAGGAUUUAGAGCUCCUGGGUGCUCGACCCCCUAUAUAAACAUUACUGGGUGCAGGGGCGGACCUACUUAGUGCUGAGUGGGUGCCUAGGCCCCACGCAAUUUUUAAAAAUUUCAAAUAGAAAUUGCUUGUAUUCAAAAAGAAAAUUUUGAAAUUCUUUAAAUUUUAUAAUAAAUGUCCUGACUCCAAUGAUUUUCCCCCACUCCACACUAAAAUAUCUCUUCCUACUCUCCCGCUAAAAUAUUUAAUCUCUUUACCAAGCUCAGCGACUCUAACAACUAUUUUCCUAAUUUGCCUAUCAAAAAAGGCUUCCGACUUGCUUUAUAUGUAAAGCAGCACGACCAGAAACAUAUGACUCAAGAAAAAAAGGCCAAACCGAUACAAGGUGAUGAGAAAAUCAUCUUACAAGUUACAGAGAUGUUCUAAUAAAAAUCCUCUUACAAAGCAGAUCAAAUAUAAAAGAAGGGUACACUACUGCUCACACCUCAACAAGAUGAAGUGAGGCUAUUGACUAGAAGAAAACCGGUGCCUCCAUGAGAAACCACCAAACAUGCAUGUAACAGACGCACCAAUUGCAAGUUGUCGUCGGAGAGGACACUCUUUGCUCGUGCUUCAGGUCAUGAAUCGCCAAUUCUACCUGCAGAGGAUGAGGAAUGAGAACUAGCGAUGCCACUGACGUCGCAUGUAAAAUAUAGGAAGCCGUCGGGGAUUGCCCCAUGCCAGAGUCGAAGAUGCAUUGAGAAGGAUCGGAGCUCACCCACCAUGUCAAACGGACGUAACCGGAGGGUGCUGGAGCUCCACGACCCCCCCCCCCCUAGGGUGACGAUGCAACACGCAUCCACGGCACGAUCGAAGGACGGUCAAGGGUUUUCACCUAGGAGCCCUGGCACGGAGAGGGGGACCACGAAAGUGAUCUUUGAUGUUGAGUGACCAUGAAUGAAGGCAAUACUCGCUAAUAUUAACAAGAAAAAUGAAGAAAUCGAUUUUGGUUGCUAAACUUUCAAAAUACGGUAAAUUUGGUCCAUGGUCCUAGUAAAAGCGAUAUAACCGGUGGGUGGUGGUGGUUUUACAGACGUUGCAACCAAUUAGAAUAGAAGAUAGACAAUCAUAAGAAAAAUACCAAAGCUUAAAAGAAUAUGGAAAAUAAGAGGGACAUUUAAAAUCUUGCAUGGAUAAACAUCUAACAAAAUAUUUUCUUAAAUAAAUUAAAAUGGUAUUAAAAAACAAAGAUAUGUUAUUAGAAAGAUGGAUCUUGAGAAAAUUAAUUUUUCGGCGUUGAAACCCAUGAACAAACACCAUAUUUCUUUGUUAGUUUUGCAUUUUCUAUCUCCAAUGUAUGUACUUAUGAUAAUUUUUGGCUUCCUACCUUUUGGCAGUUUACGUUUGGAAAUUACAUGGUUUUCAAUGUUUAUCAUAUAAUAUUUCUUAAAUUUCAAAAUUUUCCAAAUUUCAAAGAAGAUUCUAGGUUUUGAUUGAUAGGUUUUUCUUGAAUGAUUCCACUAUUAAUAAUAUUAUCUAUUGAUUUGUUUUCUUAACCUUUUUUUAUCCGUCUGUUAGCUGGGCUACUAUGUGUGUGAAUCCACUGUCUGCCAUCUCACAUACCGCUUUCACCGAUAAUCAAGGUGAAAAUUUAGUAAUUUCAAAAGUUUUACAUCCUCCAUAUCAGGUAUUUUUGUUAAAUAGCCAACUAUGAAUCACCCAAUAGUGAUUAUGUGGAUCUCUACCCAGGAGAUGGGUCAACUAUUCAAUGGUGGUCGUGACUUCUGAGGCGUGUGCAUGUGGUACACGCUUUGGGUUUGCUGGACUGGAUGUGUUCUUCCGGUACGUCAUGCAGGCGAUAUGGCGAUGACCCCGGUUCUAGAUGGUGGGGGCGUGGCGCAUCCUCCGUUGUCGAGUUUAUAGGUGUGGUAGUGGUAGUUUCGGGUUGUUUGAUGUAUGUUGUUGUCAGACCUUUAUUAAUUUAAUAAGGAUGGUUGUGUGCAUCAAUUGAUGUACCUCAUCGCGCACCGCUACGCAACACGCCGUUGAUGCUAUGGGAUGCGUUAGACCACCGGACAGACCUCCACCAUGUCGAGGAAGGCCGGUGAGGCAGACAACCAUGAUAGCACAACACGAGCUCCACAUAAGAAUUUGCACCACCAGUUGAGGGGAAGAAGGUUUGUCGUCGCCAACCACGUGGGGGCUUUUGGCUUUCCCCGUCUACAUAAGGCAUCGGCGGUGCCGGGUAGGGUGGGGAAAAUGACGCGGGCAUCGUUUUUAAGUGCUUUCAUCGGCCUAGGCAUUGUAAUAUUGGUUUAUAUUUACGAAAUAAAUAGUGCAUUAUACAUCGCAAUUAUAGAUAAUACACGAGUAUUCUACAACAACACGAUGUCAAGGGCAUGUGCAUACAUGAGAACCAACCUGUGAUUGGAAGGUUAGCAAUUAGGAGGCGGUGCUACCCAGCCCAUCAUGGAUCAAAACUCAAAUUUGACGCUUUGGUAACUCAUAAAGGCGAAAUAUUUAUUUGUUGGAAGGCGACGUUUACGUCAAGAGCAAGAAGUCUAUGGUAUUUCGUCAAUCUCAAGACCGGCCAGCUCUUAUAGGGUGAGUGUGGAACACUAAGUCCGUAUCUCACAUUUGCAGGUUUAGGAUUUCUGAGUGAAGACCAUGCCCGUGAUUUCUGAACAUUCGUGAAAACAAUGCCAGGCCAGCAUAUUAGACUACUAGGGUGUCAAUUUAGCACCAAUUAUUGUUACUGAAACAUGGACUAUGAUAUUGGAGCAUGGUGCUCAUGCUGAGCGCCAGAUAUUUGUUUACCAAAAUAUAUUCUGCUGCGUUAGAAGGACGAGCUACAUCGACGUGCGGGGAUCGGCGGAUUAUUCGAGGGGGCUGGUGGGAGAUGCUUGGGACCUGAACUUUGUCCUCCAUGGCGCUGACUGUGGAUGCGCCUUUGUCCACUAACGAAGAUGCGUCUUAAUCAUGUGGUAGACAGCAGUGAGCAGUCCUAUUACUAAAUGUGCGCACGNNNNNNNNNNNNNNNNNNNNNNNNNNNNNNNNNNNNNNNNNNNNNNNNNNNNNNNNNNNNNNNNNNNNNNNNNNNNNNNNNNNNNNNNNNNNNNNNNNNNNNNNNNNNNNNNNNNNNNNNNNNNNNNNNNNNNNNNNNNNNNNNNNNNNNNNNNNNNNNNNNNNNNNNNNNNNNNNNNNNNNNNNNNNNNNNNNNNNNNNNNNNNNNNNNNNNNNNNNNNNNNNNNNNNNNNNNNNNNNNNNNNNNNNNNNNNNNNNNNNCAAACGCAAAUGAUCGGGCCGUCUGUCCGAGUCAUGCACCGUGGUAUGUGCGCAUGCAACUGCCAACAAACUGGCUAGCACAGCGCUACAUUGAUGCGCUUGCAUAGAGAGAAAAACAACACACACAAAAAACCCACUAUAGAACAAGAAAAUAAUUUUCCUUUUCCGUGAAUGAACACAAGAACAACACGGGGAAAUCAGAACGGAUCAUGACUACAAGUAUAGCAUAGACGCUCCUGUUUUUUUUUACCGCACUGCUGUUAUUUGAGUCCGCACCACUAAUUAUCUAUACGUACAGAAGUUUUUCUAAUAGCGGUUGUUAGAGCUUCUUAUAUUAGCGAACCAACCUGUGAACUGUGGUUGGAUGGUUAGAGGGACAGUGGUAUCCCUGCCCACUAGGGUCAAUUUUCGGUGCUCGCAUUAUUCCUGGAUUUAUUUCAGAAUUUCCGGCGAUGCUUUUCAGUGGGAGCAGACGUUCGGGUCGAGGACGAGACGCCUAAGAUGACUUUGUAAAUCUCAAGAUGAUAUGCCGGCUCAGUCUCUCGAAGAUGCUCAUAUGGUAGGGUGUGCGUAUGUGCGUUUAUAGGGGUGAGUGUAUGCAUGCAGGUAUGAGCGCUUGCGUUUCUACUGUGUUAAAAAAAAGCUUCUUAUAUUAGCAUAAUUCCUUUUCCAAAAAAAAAUGAGCAUAAUUGGAAGGGCUAUGGAUCGCAUAUUUCUUGAGCGGGAUAUGUUCUGCUGAUCUCAUAUCAUUUCGUCUUGAUUAUAUCUUACCACUACGUGUCACUUUUUUUGCAGGUUACCACUACGUGUCGUUGACAUCGUAGUGCUUAUAAAAGUGGCUACUCUUGCUUUGCUGUUCUUCCAAGCAAAUUAAGCUGCGACUUAAACCGAACCAUCCUGAUGGAGCUAAGCACAGCCACUCUCCUGUCUAUCUCUGUCGCCUCACUGGCGAUUCUUGUGUCGUUGCUUAGCCGCAAAUCGGCACCAAGCUCCAAGAAGAGGCGGCCUCCUGGUCCACGGUGUCUCCCCUUCAUCGGAAGCCUCCUCCACCACCUUACCUCGGAGCCGCAGGUCGCUCUCCGGGACCUGGCGAAGAAGCACGGACCGGUGAUGUACCUGCGGCUGGGCCACGUCGACACCGUCGUGAUCUCCUCCCCGGCGGCGGCACAGGAGGUGCUCCGGGACAACAACCUCACCUUCGCGUCGCGGCCGAGCCUUGUGGCCACGGAGAUCCUAUGCUACGGGAACACUGACAUCGGCUUUGCGCCAUACGGCGCGUACUGGAGGAUGCUGCGAAAGAUCUGCACGGUGGAGGUCCUGAGCGCGCGGAAGGUGAGGCAGUUCGCGCCCAUCAGGGAUAGUGAGAUCCUUUCCCUCGUUAGGAAUGUCCGCGCUGCCGCCAGAGGCGGCGAGCCUGUAAAUCUCGGCGGACUGCUGGUGUCGUGCGCAAACACGAUCAGCGCAAAGGCGACGUUCGGUGAGGGAUGCGAUGCCGAGCUCCAGGAGCAGUUCUUGACUGCGAUGGGCGUGGCAAUGGAGUACAGCGGGGGGUUCUGCGUCGGGGACCUCUUCCCGUCCCUGCGGUUCGUGGAUGUCGUCACUAGGGUGAGACGCCGGCUCCGGCGAGCGCACAGGGUCCUCGACGCGAAAAUAUAUUUUAGAGCAUAUGCACCCAGGCCCUCUCUAUCUAGCCAUCCAUUUUUUGCUUUAAGAUUCGUGCAAAUAUAUUUCUCUUUUUUGUUUCUCCCACAUAGAAUAUAUCUUGAAGUUCAAACCUAUGCGGCGUGACAAAGCUUUCUGAGUAGAAUCUAGGAUAAAUCGUACAGAUUUUUUUGUCAAACAUAAAUAUACAAAAUACGUUUUGUUUGAUUAAAAAAUCAUAUUUUUAAUAUUUAUGUCGGACAAAAAAUUCUGAAAGAUUUAUCCUAGAUUCUAGUUAGAAAGAUUUGCCAUCCUGCAUAGGUUUGAACUUUAAGAUAUGUUCUAUGUGGGAAAAGCAAAAAAGAGAAAAUUUCAUAUAGAAACUUAGUUGUGUCGCACGGAUCUUAAGCAAUAUUGAAGAGUUAGGAUAGGAGGGCCUGGGUGCAUAUGCUCUAAAAAUCCACGUCCGUCCUCGACGCCGUCUUUGAGAAGAUCAUCACUAGGUGCGAGGCGCGGCGGAAGGAGAAGGAGUCAACGGCGACGACCGGCGGCGGAGAUGAUGACCUUCUGAGCGUCAUGCUUAGGAUCAAGGACGAGGAUGGCCUUGAGUUCCCCAUCAGCACCACAAACAUCAAGGCAAUCAUAGGGGUAAAGUGUUUUUAAAAGAUUCACAUGAUCGAUGCGUAGAGUAGUACUGCCUAUGUGUUAUUUUUCUCAUUCAUGUUCUUCAUGUCGAUUAAUUUCGAUUAGGAUAUGUUCACUGGAGGGGCCGAGACAACAUCAUCAGCCGCGGAGUGGAUCAUGUCGGAGCUUAUGCGGUACCCGGAGGUGAAGGCGAAGGCGCAGGCCGAGGUGCGACGAACAUUCGACAACAAGAACCCACGAGACCACGAGAGCCUCAUAGAGGAGCUGUGCUACACGAGGAUGGUGGUGAAGGAGGGCUUGCGGCUGCACCCGGUGCUGCCGCUCCUGCUCCCACGUGUCUGCCGGGAGACCUGCAACGUUGGCGGAUUCGAGGUCACGGAGGGCACCAGGGUCAUGGUUAACGCGUGGGCGAUAGCGAGGAGCGCCGAGCAUUGGCACGACGCGGAGGAGUUUAGGCCGGAGAGGUUCGUGGAUAGCACGGCGAGAGACUACGCCGGCACGCGGUACGAGUACUUGCCGUUCGGCAGCGGGAGGAGGAUGUGCCCUGGCGGCCACUUUGCGAUGGCCACGCUGGAGCUCACUGUGGCACGGCUUCUCUACUACUUCAACUGGAGCCUCCCGAACGGUAUUCGACCGGAGGAGCUCGACAUGGACAUGAUCGUCGGCGCAACGGCAAGAAGAAGGAACCAACUGCACCUAAUUGCGGAGCCCUAUAAUGUCCCAAUCGAUCUUUAAAGCCGAUGUUUGUGAC
rnacentral:lncRNA from 1 species